rnacentral:rRNA from 1 species
UACGUAGGGUGCAAGCGUUAUCCGGAAUUAUUGGGCGUAAAGAGCUCGUAGGCGGUUUGUCGCGUCUGCUGUGAAAACUGGAGGCUCAACCUCCAGCCUGCAGUGGGUACGGGCAGACUAGAGUGUGGUAGGGGAGAUUGGAAUUCCUGGUGUAGCGGUGGAAUGCGCAGAUAUCAGGAGGAACACCAAUGGCGAAGGCAGAUCUCUGGGCCGUAACUGACGCUGAGGAGCGAAAGCAUGGGGAGCGAACAGG